rnacentral:rRNA from 1 species
GGGGCUAAUACCGGAUAACAUUUUGAACUGCAUGGUUGAAAUUGAAAGGCGGCUUCGGCUGUCACUUAUGGAUGGACCCGCGUCGCAUUAGCUAGUUGGUGAGGUAACGGCUCACCAAGGCAACGAUGCGUAGCCGACCUGAGAGGGUGAUCGGCCACACUGGGACUGAGACACGGCCCAG